AGUGAACGCUGGCGGCAGGCCUAACACAUGCAAGUCGAGCGGCAGCGCGGGGGCAACCCUGGCGGCGAGCGGCGGACGGGUGAGGAAUUCGUCGGAAUCUGCCUUUUUGUGGGGGAUAACGUAGGGAAACUUACGCUAAUACCGCAUACGUCCUACGGGAGAAAGUGGGGGACCGCAAGGCCUCACGCAGAAAGAAGAGCCGACGACCGAUUAGCUAGUUGGUGGGGUAAAGGCCCACCAAGGCGACGAUCGGUAGCUGGUCUGAGAGGAUGAUCAGCCACACUGGGACUGAGACACGGCCCAGACUCCUACGGGAGGCAGCAGUGGGGAAUAUUGGACAAUGGGCGCAAGCCUGAUCCAGCCAUGCCGCGUGUGUGAAGAAGGCCUUCGGGUUGUAAAGCACUUUUGUCCGGAAAGAAAUCCAUGGAGCUAAUACCUUCGGGGGAUGACGGUACCGGAAGAAUAAGCACCGGCUAACUUCGUG
rnacentral:rRNA from 1 species